rnacentral:pre_miRNA from 14 species
UUCUUCAGGGUUGAACACAGAUCACAUGAUGAAAGACCCCCAGACUUGGGGAGACUCUCACUCCAGUCACGGGUUGAGGUACCCCCAGGAAACACGAGAAGCC